rnacentral:rRNA from 1 species
AUUGAACGCUGGCGGCAGGCCUAACACAUGCAAGUCGACCGAGUGGCGGACGGGUGAGUAAUGUAUGGGAAUGUUGCUGAUGGAGGGGGUCCACUACCGGAAGCUAUUGCUAAUACCGCAUUCCAUCGGAUGGGCCCGGGUGGGUUUAGCUGGUGGGUGGGGCAACGGCACACAUAGGCGACGAUCCCUAGCUGGUCUGAGAGGAUGACCAGCCACACUGGAACUGAGACACGGUCCAGACUCCUACGGGAGGCAGCAGUGGGGAAUAUUGGACAAUGGGCGAAAGCCUGAUGCAGCCAUGCCGCGUGUGUGAAGAAGGCCUUCGGGUUGUAAAGCACUUUAAGUGGGGAGGCGUUACCCACAGAAGAAGCACCGGCUAACUCCGUGCCAGCAGCCGCGGUAAUUC